rnacentral:tRNA from 1 species
GCUGAGGGUGGCUCAGUGGCACAGCACAUGCUUAGCAUUUAUGAGGCCCUUAGUUCAAUUCCUCAAUCCCCAGCA